CGCGGGGUGGAGCAGUCUGGUAGCUCGUUGGGCUCAUAACCCAAAGGCCGCAGGUUCAAAUCCUGCCCCCGCUA
rnacentral:tRNA from 1 species